GAGAGAGAGAGAGAGAGAGAACAGUAAUGACCACCCACUACCACCAUCCUCAAAGUAUCCAUACCAAACCACCAUUGCCAAAACAAAUAGAAGGAAACUCAAUUGAAGAAGCAAAAUGGUACAGCAAGAAAAAACUAUGAAAAAGAAGCAAAACAACUAACCUCUCACCUCAAAUUCCGCUGGUUGAUUGAAAGAGCAAUUACCGAAUGGAAAAGAAAAACAAAGCUAAAAAAUAUAAAGGAAUUGCUACAAUGGGCAUGGCAUCACAAUAGGAAAACGUCAUUUUUCCUACUGCACGUUGCAAAAGAAAGAGGAACACAGUCGGCUUCAUGGAAAACAAAGGCAUGAGCUCUGGUUCGGCCAAACAAAAAGAAGAACAGAAAAGCAGAGGUCUGGUUUGCCAAGACAAGAAGAAUAAGGCAAUUUGCUAAGCCAAAUAAAAACGAUGUCACUUUGGCAAUGAAAGAAUUUGACCCUCUUUUUUGCUAAAAUUACAAAAUGCUCAAAAUUUCUACCAGUCCAAGAACAGUACAAAUUGUGGGUUGUACUUUAUAUAAUUUAUAUGUAUUGUGCAUAUCAUAUGGCAUUGUCAACAUUUCACUUUUUUAUUUAAUUUGAAAGAUACCAUUCCAUCUAGCCCUUACUGGUUCUAGUUUCAGCUAGCACAUCUCACACAUAAAGCCAACACCAAAAGGUAGGAAAAAUUUUCUAAAAAGCCCUCAAGGCCAUGAUUAUAUUGCAUAUAUACAAAAUUCAAAAGGAAAAAGAAAAGCAUAAAGUAAUAUGAGACUGCAACAUGGUCUUUAACAGCACAUAAGAUUGAAAAAAAAGACACAAGAGCGCCAAAGCAACACAGAAAAUGACAAAGAAAACACAUAAAAACUAAGAAAAAAAAAAGAUUUUGCAAAUAAAAAAUUGCAUUGCGACAAGCAAUAUUCUACUAAUAGCAAAUACUUCAACCUCAAAUCACAUUAGAAAGAGGCUAGAAAAACCAAGUAAAACUUUGCCACCAACAAAGAAGCAUCCUUAUUGCCUCAAAUUCUAGAGCAAAGAAAAAGGCAAAGAAAAACUAAAGAAAAAAUCACAAAUUAAGAACAUGCAAAUAACUUUACAAAUGUCAGAACAAAACCAGCAAACUACAAAAGCACGAAUAAGCUCACCUAAACAACUCAAGACAUAUCCUCGAGCUUAGAUUAUAAAGGUAUAAUAUCUAAAUCAAUCAUAGAAGGAAAUAGAUGGGAAGAAAACAUAGAAGGAAUCCAUUUAUGUAAUCUGUAAACUGAAAUAUGUGCAGCAAUAAUCUGUACACUGUAAUCUGUAGAAGGAAGGAUGGGGGAAUAGAUUGGGAAGAACACAUAGAAGUAAAUACAAUCAACUUCUCAACUCUCAAGUCAUAUUAUGUAAUCUGUAAACUGAAAUGUGUGCAGCAAUAAUAUCUAAAAGGCAGUAAGGAAAACAAAUGUCAAAAAUAAUCAAUGCAAAUAUGAUAAAAAGUAAAAUCAAUUAGGCUGGUGGUAUUUUUGAUUUAAAUUGUCAAAGCAGUGCCCAAUUUCUACAAAUAGAGAACCUUGUAAGAGAAACUCAGAUAUCAAUCUCCAAAAUAAUCCUGUAUUUUGUAUGUAAAAAAAUGCAGAUCACAGUCUGUAAUGAUCAAUUACCAUAUUUAGUCCAUCAAAUAAGGCAUCUUGAGCAGUAAGCCAUAUCAAAUGAACUUGAUGGGAAAGGAAGGCAUUGUGCAGCAAUGAUUCUUGGAACUGCAAGAAAUCCACAUACCAAUGCAAACUGGGCUUGAGCCACAUGAUCAUCUCUUGAAGCAAGAGGAAUAGUCAGGAUUCCCCUAUCUAUAGAUCACCACCUUAAACUGUAGCCUAGAUACGAACACAAAUACAUCAAAUCCACAAAUUGAAUUACACAGCAAUGAUGGCUACAUUUGCAUCAAAUUUAUUUGAUGUAUUCCAAAAAGAGGGACAGCUCAAAACAGUCUACGGGGAAAGAAUUAAUUGCCCCGAAAACAUUUCAUUUCAAUUAUUUGCAUCAAAGCAAAAUGACCCUCUUAGCUCUUAAGGAUGUCAUAAUUCCAUCGGUUUUAUCUGAUGGAUUCCGGUAAAAAAGGAAUUAAUACAAGAUGUC
rnacentral:misc_RNA from 1 species